rnacentral:piRNA from 1 species
CAUGGGCCUUUGCAGGAUACU